AUUGAACGCUGGCGGCAGGCCUAACACAUGCAAGUCGAACGAGUGGCGGACGGGUGAGUAAUGUCUGGGAAACUGCCCGAUGGAGGGGGCUAACUACUGGAAACGGUAGCUAAUACCGCAUACCAUCGGGUGUGCCCAGGUGGGAUUAGCUUGUAGGUGAGGUAACGGCGCACCUAGGCGACGGUCCCUAGCUGGUCUGAGAGGAUGACCAGCCACGCUGGAACUGAGGCACGGUCCAGAAGUCUGCGGGAGGCAGGCGGGGGGAAUAUGGAACAAUGGUCGCAAGCGUGAUGCAGCCAUGCGGCGUGUAUGAAGAAGGCCGUCGGGUUGUAAAGUACUUUCAGCGGGGAGGCGGUACUCGCAGAAGAAGCACCCGCUAACUCCGUGCCAGCCGCCGCGGUAAC
rnacentral:rRNA from 1 species